rnacentral:rRNA from 1 species
AGUGAACGCUGGCGGUAGGCCUAACACAUGCAAGUCGAACGGCAGCACAGUAAGAGCUUGCUCUUACGGGUGGCGAGUGGCGGACGGGUGAGGAAUACAUCGGAAUCUACUUUUUCGUGGGGGAUAACGUAGGGAAACUUACGCUAAUACCGCAUACGACCUACGGGUGAAAGCAGGGGAUCUUCGGACCUUGCGCGAUUGAAAGAGCCGAUGUCGGAUUAGCUAGUUGGCGUGGUAAAGGCCCACCAAGGCGACGAUCCGUAGCUGGUCUGAGAGGAUGAUCAGCCACACUGGAACUGAGACACGGUCCAGACUCCUACGGGAGGCAGCAGUGGGGAAUAUUGGACAAUGGGCGCAAGCCUGAUCCAGCCAUACCGCGUGAGUGAAGAAGGCCUUCGGGUUGUAAAGCCCUUUUGUUGGGAAAGAAAAGCAGCAGGUGAAUACCCCGCUGUUCUGACGGUACCCAAAGAAUAAGCACCGGCUAACUUCGUG